rnacentral:lncRNA from 1 species
CGGGGAAAGUGACUGUCGAGCGCUUUUAGGCGGUGCGCCUGUCUGCUUUUUUUUCAGCUUACCUGAAGCGACACCUGCACAUCUACACGGGUGACAUGCCGUUUCAGUGCCCAUUAUGCCCUUGGAGCUUUUCAAGAAACUGCAGACUGAAGCUUCACAUGCACAUCCACUCGGGUGAGAAGCCAUUUCAGUGCCCUGCCUGCCCUCAGAGCUUCUCACAAAAGAGUAGUCUGGACCGACACCUGUGCACCCACACAUGGCGAGAGGCCAUUUCAGUGCCCUUCAUGCCCUCAGAGCUGCUCACAGAAGAGUGAUCUGAACCAACACCUGCGCACCCACACAGGCGAGAGGCCAUUUCAGUGCCCUUCAUGCCCCAGGAGCUUCUCAAACAAGGUCACACUGAGGCAUCAUGUGCACGUCCACACAGGCGAGCGGCCAUUUCAGUGCCCUUCAUGCCCUAAGAGCUUCUCAAAGAAUGUAAUCUGAACCGACACCUGCGUACCCACACAGG